rnacentral:rRNA from 1 species
AACGAACGCUGGCGGCAUGCCUAACACAUGCAAGUCGAACGAGACCUUCGGGUCUAGUGGCGCACGGGUGCGUAACGCGUGGGAACCUGCCCUUAGGUUCGGAAUAACUCCCCGAAAGGGGUGCUAAUACCGGAUAAUGUCUUCGGACCAAAGAUUUAUCGCCUUUGGAUGGGCCCGCGUUGGAUUAGCUAGUUGGUAGGGUAAAAGCCUACCAAGGCGACGAUCCAUAGCUGGUCUGAGAGGAUGAGCAGCCACACUGGGACUGGGACACGGCCCAGACUCAUGGGGGAGGCAGCAGAGGGGAAUAUUGGACAAUGGGGGAAGGCAUGAUCCAGCAAGGCCGCGUGAGUGAUGAAGGCCGUAGGGUUGUAAAGCUCUUUUACCCGGGAUGAUAAUGACAGUACCGGAAGAAUAAGCUCCGGCUAACUCCGUG